GCAGCUCCCGGCCGUUUUAUUCCGUUUUCCGGGUCCUGGGGUGCGAAGGCGGUGAAGUUUGCUCUGGGCGAGGACCACCGGGUGUGGGAAAGGAUUUGUAAGCGUCCUGCAACGUUGACAGUCCGUCUUCCUAUUUCCCUAGAGUGGUUGGGGCGAAGCCUGUGCGGGUUUCGAGAAGGGGGCCGCCGGCCACAGGGCUGGGUCAGGUGACGGAUACCGGGCCGGCGGCCUGGGCCUCAGCAGCUCAGGCCAGCGGGGGCGGGGCUCGGCUGGCGGUUUAGAUAAAGAGGAGCUCUAAACAAGGAGUGGUAAUGGUUGGAGGCAAUUCCUGGGUAAAUUAUACCUACAGAAAUCCAGAUUGUGUAGUAGCUAUGACAUCUCAUCUCCAGAUCUCUGGCAGCAAAAUAAAAACAUCUUAAGGUCGACUUCAUAUAGAGUUCUGAAGCUGUUUGCAAAUCCUCAGAAGUUUGGAAGACUUCUCUGACGAAUCUGACCAGCCCAGAAGGAUUGGCCUAAGAUACUGACAUCAGAGGUUCUCCCGCAAAGGGCCGACUCACAUCACCCUCAAUGAAGCUCCGUCUCUAAGCUGCAACCAUGUAUACAGAUCUUUUAAAAAACUUUUUUGUCCUUUCACUUAUAAGAAUGGACAGAAAAGUAUUACCUUUUCUAGAGGAAAGCUUAGAAGUGAUAUAAAAGCAGAAAAACAGCAAUUUGGAGGAAAACAACAGAAAAUUGCAUGAAAGCUGAUACUAAUGAACUCAGAAAAAAGUUGUUCUGCUACAUUGUAUGCUAGUUACUUGAAUUAGUUCACAUUAUUAGUAAAUAGGGGAAGCAUACGGGCAUUAAUUCGGACAUAAUUCUGUGAGAACAGGUAUCUUACCUGACAUGUUCAUGGCUACACCUCAGUGCCUGGAAUGUCAAAGUGCUCAGUAAUAUUUACUGGAUGAGAAAGAAAAAGGUAUAUAUAUUAUAUAUAAAAGUGGAUGCUUUCCAUGAUAAAUCAAAAUGGCUAAUUCUUUAAGAGGAGAAGUACUGAAUCUUUAUAAAAAUACUGUUUAGAAAUAUGUAAUCUUUCUUUUUUAAGCUGCUGUAUCUUGGACGAGACUAUCCAAAAGGAGCAGACUAUUUUAAAAGGCGUCUGAAGAAUGUUUUCCUUAAAAACAAAGAUGUGAAGGACCCAGAGAAGAUCAGAGAACUUAUUGGACGGGGCAAAUUUGUAAUGAAAGA